AGCAUCACUUUCAAAGCAUCGUUUCAGGAUGAGUAUUUCAUGUCAAGUGGAUUCAAGGAACAGUGUGAAGGAUCCAUGGCCUCAGUCACCGUGAAGACCCUCCCAAGAGUCAGCCCUACUGGGCAGGUAUAAAUGAGUGGAGACAUGGAACUCACCCUUACAAGGCCUAAACCUGACAGAGCACACAAGACAGAAGCCCAGAUAACCAGGAGCAGGAAGCUGAAGCUCCUGUUGACCACCCAGAGGAGUUUACCCUUGGCAGUGCGGAGGAGGAGGUGGCCUCUGACAUGGAGAAGCCUGCCGCCCAGUAUCAUCACUGUACGUAUUCUUUUUCUUUUAAAGAGUUACUGAGAUGUAGUUGACAUGCAAACCAAUUCACCCAUUUAAAGUAGGUGAUUCA